AACAACACACUCACAACACAAGACAAAACACAACACACACUAACACAACAAAAGACCUAAAACCGAACCGUUGGUCCCCGGCAACGGCGCCAAAAUUUGAUGGGUGUCGCGGCCCAUACAAAUUUGAUUGCAUAUGAGAAAUGCAGUAUAGCUAGGGAAUGACCCCUAGGUCGUCUCCCAAAGACCAAUUUUGCGGUUCGAGAAUCGANN
rnacentral:lncRNA from 1 species